UACGUAGGGUGCGAGCGUUUAAUCGGAAUUACUGGGCGUAAAGCGUGCGCAGGCGGUUCGUUAAGUUCGAUGUGAAAGCCCCGGGCUCAACCUGGGAACUGCAUUGGAAACUAACGGGCUCGAGUGUGGCAGAGGGGGGUGGAAUUCCGCGUGUAGCAGUGAAAUGCGUAGAGAUCUCCAAGAACACCCGUUGCGAAGGCGGCCGACUGGACACAUAUUGACGCUGAGGCUCGAAAGCAUGGGGAGCAAACAGG
rnacentral:rRNA from 1 species